UCUGGGACAAGCCCUGGAAACGGGGUCUAAUACCGGAUAAUACUUUCCCUCUCAUGGGGGAAGGUUAAAAGCUCCGGCGGUGAAGGAUGAGCCCGCGGCCUAUCAGCUAGUUGGUGGGGUAAUGGCCUACCAAGGCGACGACGGGUAGCCGGCCUGAGAGGGCGACCGGCCACACUGGGACUGAGACACGGCCCAGACUCCUACGGGAGGCAGCAGUGGGGAAUAUUGCACAAUGGGCGAAAGCCUGAUGCAGCGACGCCGCGUGAGGGAUGACGGCCUUCGGGUUGUAAACCUCUUUCAGCAGGGAAGAAGCGAAAGUGACGGUACCUGCAGAAGAAGCGCCGGCUAACUACGUGCCAGCAGCCGCGGUAAUACGUAGGGCGCAAGCGUUGUCCGGAAUUAUUGGGCGUAAAGAGCUCGUAGGCGGCUUGUUGCGUCGGUUGUGAAAGCCCGGGGCUUAACCCCGGGUCUGCAGUCGAUACGGGCAGGCUAGAGUGUGGUAGGGGAGAUCGGAAUUCCUGGUGUAGCGGUGAAAUGCGCAGAUAUCAGGAGGAACACCGGUGGCGAAGGCGGAUCUCUGGGCCAUUACUGACGCUGAGGAGCGAAAGCGUGGGGAGCGAACAGGAUUAGAUACCCUGGUAGUCCACGCCGUAAACGUUGGGAACUAGGUGUUGGCGACAUUCCACGUCGUCGGUGCCGCAGCUAACGCAUUAAGUUCCCCGCCUGG
rnacentral:rRNA from 1 species